UCUGCGUGUGAAAAGAACUCAGUUGCUGUUAGUCCAACGAAUAAAGUGAGCACAAGUAUGAGUAACUUCCUUCCAAGAACUACUUCAAGCAAAGGCAAGAGAAAUGGAGCAGCUGUUGGGAGGCUGUUCAAUUUUUAAAGUUUGACUCCAGCAAAAAUUGCAAGAGCCUUGAACUGCAAGGGAUCUCUGCCGGUGUGUGUAUUUUGUCUUCACCCAAAUUGUCAGAUUGGGUGAAAUGAUCUCCAAGGCUGCAUCCAGUGGCUC
rnacentral:lncRNA from 1 species